rnacentral:rRNA from 1 species
AACGAACGCUGGCGGCAUGCCUAACACAUGCAAGUCGAACGAUCCCUUCGGGGAUAGUGGCGCACGGGAGCGUAACGCGUGGGAAUCUGCCCUUGGCUUCGGAAUAACAGUUAGAAAUGACUGCUAAUACUGGAUGAUGUCUUUGGACCUACGAUUUAGCGGCCAGGGAUGAGCCCGCGUAGGAUUAGGUAGUUGGUGGGGUAAAGGCCUACCAAGCCGACGAUCCUUAGCUGGUCUGAGAGGAUGAUCGGCCACACUGGGACUGAGACACGGCCCAGACUCCUACGGGAGGCAGCAGUGGGGAAUAUUGGACAAUGGGCGCAAGCCUGAUCCAGCAAUGCCGCGUGAGUGAUGAAGGCCUUAGGGUCGUAAAGCUCUUUUACCCGGGAUGAUAAUGACAGUACCGGGAGAAUAAGCUCCGGCUAACUCCGUGCCAGCCGCCGCCGUAA